CACUCCUACGGGAGGCAGCAGUGGGGAAUUUUGGACGAUGGGCGAAAGCCUGAUCCAGCCAUGCCGCGUGCAGGAUGAAGGCCUUCGGGUUGUAAACUGCUUUUGUACGGAACGAAACGGCCUUUUCUAAUAAAGAGGGCUAAUGACGGUACCGUAAGAAUAAGCACCGGCUAACUACGUGCCAGCAGCCGCGGUAAUACGUAGGGUGCAAGCGUUAAUCGGAAUUACUGGGCGUAAAGCGUGCGCAGGCGGUUAUGUAAGACAGUUGUGAAAUCCCCGGGCUCAACCUGGGAACUGCAUCUGUGACUGCAUAGCUAGAGUACGGUAGAGGGGGAUGGAAUUCCGCGUGUAGCAGUGAAAUGCGUAGAUAUGCGGAGGAACACCGAUGGCGAAGGCAAUCCCCUGGACCUGUACUGACGCUCAUGCACGAAAGCGUGGGGAGCAAACAGGAUUAGAAACCCUUGUAGUCCC
rnacentral:rRNA from 1 species